GCAGCGAGAGGGACAGCUUCGGUGACAGGCCUGGGGCGGGACCAGAGGACGUUCCGGGACGGAUUGGUCAAAGUCGUGCGUCCGGGCGCACGGCACGUUGGGAAGCGAGCAGCUGGAUUGGCUGCUUGCCUCGCAGAGGGGGCGGGCCUUUUGUUCCCGGGCGCGACGAUUGGUCUUUCCAAAUGCCGGAAGCGACGAGGGGAACGGUCGAAAGCCGGGAUCCAGCGUCCACGGAGCGGGGAGAUGAGGAAUCGGCGGCGCUGGGCCUCAGCCCGGCAGCCUCGGCCCCUGGUCCGAGUCCCCCCGCCCGCGCGGCUUGAGGAGACCAGGCGGCGCCCGCUUGUGCGGGCGGACCGCGGCCGUCGCGCCCCUGCCCUGUGGUUAAGUGGAGGCGCGCGCGGUGCUCCGCGUGCGGCGGGUGCGGGCAGCGCGGGAAGCAAGGACCGCGCCCGCCUCGCAGGGCCACCGGGAGGACUGCGCGAGGAGUGUGCGCGGCCCUUGGCCGGGGCUCGGCACGUAGGAAACUGGAAGCGGUGGUCCCUCCGCAGCGGCUGCCUUCCACGCUCCGAUUUCCCCGCUCCCAGCCAGUAACUUCCCUGGGUGAGCGGGGCGCCGUGGGCUGUCGAGCACCCUCGGGAUGAUGACCCAGGGUCCCGGUGGACACCUCAUUUAAUCUCUACACCCAACGUGGAGCUCGAACUCAUGACCCUGAGAUCAAGAAUUACAUGCUCUUCUGACUGAGCCAGCCAGGCACCCUCAAGUUCCCUUUUUAAGCGCAUAAAAUUCACAUAUCUUUGAUAAAUAACAACCCUAAUGACAUUGGAAUUGCCAUGAUUGAGACCAGGGGUUCCCCAACUGUGGUUCAGGGACCCCUGGAGGCCGCCCAAGACCUUUCUGGGGGUCAGCAAAAGUCUGGCAGUUUGGAGGGCAUGGCUGCAGGCUGUCAGCAAAGGCAGCUAUUCUCAAGAAGGCAAUCCAGAGCCCUGGGGUCUGGAAGAUUGAGUUGAAUGUCACCAGACUGGAAGGUGUACCAGUUAACAAGGGAAGGAGGGAGAGAGGAGUGGUCCCGCUGAGUCUGGGGAGAGGGUGAAAGGCCGUGUGCCGAGAUAGAGAAGCACCAGGCCUCAGCAGUUUGGAGCUAGCAGAUGGCCGCUGGAGCUGUCCUGCAGGCCACGUAUGUACCAGCCUGCUGGUGAGAAGCAGAAACCUUUGGAGAUGAGCUUGCUGGAGGGGACGUCCAGGCCCAGGCGGCAGAAGCCCGGAGGAUGUCAGUCACUCAGCACUUUCCUGGAGCAGGCAGCCUGGGAAUGCUCACCCCUCCCUGCUUCACCAGCCUGCUCAGAGACGGAGACUGCGCUUUAUGGAACAGAAGCUCAGGGAGGACAAGCAUCUGUCCACUGCUGUGUCCCUAGCGCCUAGGUCGUGGCCACAGAAACACGCGGGAAUGAGCCAGCAGUCUCUGAGAACCGGGCGUUAGAAGGUCUCAGUGAACAAAGGCAAGGUUUUCCUUAGCGGGAGGCACACAAGGGAGGGACGUCUGGGAACACUGGCCUGUCGCUGUGUCUCUCCCUGUUACACUGCGGCUGUCCGAGUUCAGUGUGCCUCACGGCAACUUCUACGGAAGUAGGUCCACCGUUGAUUUGCCGAAAAGCCGUGAUGGCCAUAGACCUCUAGGAUCUAGCAAGCUGGUGAACACUCGGUGCCUUAAUGGAAGGGCACAGAGACCUAGGACCGUCCUUGUUCAGGGGAAGAGCAUGCUCUGUCCAACCCCGCGAAAAGGAGUCACCCGGCUGCCCGCUGCUGACUGUGGGUCAGGGAGCGGAGACACGGCGGACCUGGUCACUGGCUACAUCCUAGACCAGCAAGCGGAGGACCCUGUUGGCUACAGGGCACAUUCAACUGCAAGCGGUCUGGGGGACCGUGUACAAAAAGUGAAUGCCUUCUUCCUUCAAAUGUCUUCUCAUUCCCCGAAACAAGUGACCCCUGGGGCCAGGGAGAUAGCAAGCUAGUGACUGCCAGGAAUAGCUAUAAACCAGACAUCCAGACGUGGUCCCUCUCUGCUGGUAGCUGAACCCAGAUGAGACUUCUGAGCCCACACUGGGGGGUUAUGGAGGGAGGGACCCCGGGCCUCUGGCCAGUGACGACUCCCCAGUAGCUAGUGAGCCUGGACAGGCAAACCCCAACUUGGACCAACAACACCCCAAAAACUCAACAUAAACUUGCAUCUAAAGAAACGGGGCGGCACGUGAUGAGGAGACGAGGCGGGGGGUCCCACCCGCAGUGACUGGAUCUGGGGGCGCAAACCAGGUUGCCCCACGCCUCACCUGCAGCCUUUGCUCCUUUACACGUGGGCCUCCUUCUCUCUCUCCAACCACGGUUGGCUUUCUCCACAGGGUGGGAAAGGGGGGAGCGGCCUGCUCGGUCCAUCCUCUCCAUGACCCCAAAGGCAGUCCCUUCAUCUUCAAACAGGAGCUCUAAGGAAGGACGCCAUUGGCUGACUUUGCAUUCCUGAACCAAUCGUCGCGCGGAUUAAUGCAGCCCUAGGAAGGGCUGGGGUCGCGUGACCAGGGGAUCAGGAUCGGAGGGGUGGAUGUUGCUGAACAGACGUGAACAACAGACACCUUCUGUAAUCAUCACUGUGGUCAGCGGGCUCUCAGGAGACCCUCGGUGACGCCCACCCCCUGGAAUUCACACCCUGGGGCCGUCCCUGCCACACGCUCCACGUGGUGAAGAGCUCAGGUCUCCUGCCAACAGCCAGGUGAGGGCACCCCCUGGAGAGCCACCCUCCAGCACCAGGAAAGCUUCACCUGGACCGCACCCUUGGACAAGGAGGACAGAUGGGGAGCAGCUUGCCUGAAGCAGGAACUUGAGAGCCCAGGACCCCCACCAGCCAAGGAACAGCUGCAGGGGUGGGAGCAGCAGAGGUCCGCUCUGCUCCCUCCUUCCACACCCCCCACCAAGGGUCGCCUGGCUCACAAACACACCUGGUGUCGGAGUGGCAAUGCAGGAAUCUAGGACAUGGGACCGCAACCCGUUCACCGUGAGGUUGCCUCCGCCAGUUAAGGGAGGCCGCGUCCUGAUGGACACUGAGUGCACAGAGCCGAGGAAGGACAGUUGAGUAAACAGAGGUUAAGAGGGGGGGCACCUGGGAGCUCAGUCAGUUGAGCAUCCGAGUGUCAGGUCAUGGUCUUGUGGUUCGUGGGUUUGAGCCCCACGAGCCUGCUUGAGAUUUUGUCUCCCUUUCUCAGCCCCUCCCCUGCUUGCUUUCUCAAAAAUAAAUGAAUAAACAUUUUGAAUAAAUGAAUCGAUAAUCUGUUCUUCCAGAAUCUCAUUUGCUAUGACAUCCCAGGAAUAACUCCCAGA